rnacentral:lncRNA from 1 species
CCGUCCCCAUGUGGCCCCCGGCGUGGCUGCUCCCAUAACCUGGAAUCACAAGAAGCAUUAGUUAGCAUGGAAUAAGCUUCAACAUCUGACUGGAUCAACAGAACAGAAAUACCAAUUUCCAACCUUACAGCAAUAAAAUAUACAUGUAAAUGUUAGUUUCAAGUGUACGGGAGUACAAUUCUAAAUCUACACAAUGAAAUGUAUAAGCAAUAUAACAAAGCAAUCCAUAACAAUCUCAAACUCGGGACUGUAGUACAUAAACUGUUUAAAUAUUAUUAUUGUUUACAAAUAAAAAAUGCACGAGUAUUUGCUGGAGUUAGACAAAUUAGCUAUUCUCAUGGACAUUUCUUUUUGUGAAAGGAAUGAUCUGCUAGAUAUUAUCAUGGUGAAGGCCCUAUGAUUUCGAAGGUGAAGGUGUAAAGCACGUAACUGCAGAGCAAUUCAUACCAUGUUGAGUCAGUACCGAUACAACUGCUAGCUAUUCUGACUCUACGUUACAAGUUAAGUAUUAGAAUUGAUGAAGAGAUCAUACCCUGGUGAGAUGAGCCGGGGUAGCCUGCAGGAGGAUAUCCACCUUGAGUUGGGUAGCCACCCGGCUGAGGGUACCCAUAUUGUGGUGGGUAUGCGCCGGGUGGAGGAGGAUACGCCCCUGGGGGAGGUGGGUAUGCUCCUGGUUGCGGUGGGUAGCCCUGCGGAGGGUAUCCCUGCGGGGGGUACCCAUGGCCACCGGCAACGCCGUGCAUCAAGUUUGAGAAGAGCCCCUUGUCGCUCUCGUCAUGCUUGUCUUUCCCUCCUCCCAUUGCUCCCCCAAGUUUACCUAAAGAAAGAACGAGCAGAGUAUAUAUCAAACUGUGAGCCAGCUUAAGUGUAGACAGACAGAAUAUGAAUGUAGAUUGUAACAGGUUGAAGAAUGCGGUGAUCAAAAAUCAAAUCUGACAUAAUCCCUCUGUCCCAGUAUUAUAAGGCGUAAACAUUUGUUGGGCACCAAAUUGAGCUGCGGACGGUCCGGCCCUAAGGUCGGACGGUCCGCGCCUGUAGCCCGGACGGUCCACACGUGCACAGAACAGAUUAGGGUUCCGAGUUUUGUGCAACGGUUGUUAGCUAGAUUCGCGGAAUUAGCUCGGAAAUUAGUUUGUAAAGGGUCUAGCCCCCUCCUCUAUCUCACAUUUAUUUCCUGUACAAUUAGGAGUAGUUUUAGUUUAGUUCUAGUUUAGCUUCUCAAUCCCCAAAUUCUCCGCUUCUCUUCGACUCUACGUUGAUUAGAGGAGUCUAGGUCGGUCUGCUCGAGCCUAGACAUCACCUAGGAUCUCUCCUCCCAGACAGGGUCCCUCCCAGGAGCGAGAUCCAGGCACCGCCGGCGAUCUUCCGCCGCCCCUGCGCACGCGCGGACCGUCCGGUCCUAGGGCGCGGACCGUCCGGCCGUCAGGCAGGAAACCCUUGCCCCGCGCCAGGCCGCGGACCGUCCGGCCCCUGGCCGCGGACCGUCCGCCCCUGUGCAGAGAGCACUAUCGCUGGUUCGUGUUGAGUGAUUGGCGCCCCAAAAAAGUGUCAACAAUAUCUCUAGUUCAAAGGCCAAAAAAUGUAUUAAUUCUCUCUAUGCUAUUGCGUCGAUGUAUACAUGUCUAGAUAGAGCACAUCUUAUAUUAUAGGACUAGAAUAAAAAAUGGUUAAACUUUAUAUUCUGGGAUGGAGAGUGUGUCUGCAAAAGAAUGCACGGUAAUGGAACAGGUGAUGCAGGCACAAAAGUGGUCUAGCUUCAGUAUGGAUGUAGCAGUGUACCGAGCAAAUUGAAUGGUAUAUAUUGGAACAGGAUGAAUGCAAUAGUGUGAGAGCUUUUUUUUUCUAGAUGAAGGAAGCUUUAUUAAUAACAAAGUUCUGGCUUUCCCUCUCCGUAAGAACAUUUUCUAUCCAUAAACUACAUAAUGGCUAAACAUAGGUAUCCCUCUCUGAAUGUUUGCUUCUACUUCCCUCUCCUUACACAACUACUGACCCAAUCUUACAUGAUCCACUGCAGGAUCAGAAGAAUGCUAAAACAGAGCAGCUAAAAGAAGAUUGCUGUGUACUUGCCGAAGGAAGAAAAAAAAUGAUUUGUUUGAUCUAAGAGAUGGUAGUUAAUUGCUCAUUGCAACUCAGAAAAAAAUGAUUUAUCUGAUCUAAGAGAUGAUAAUUAAUUGUGCAUUGCAACACGGACUACAUGACGAGGCAAUCGAUCCUUAGGCCCCUUUGGUUAGGCUUUUCAAACUGCUUUGGCUUUUAAAAAAGCAAAAAAAGCCAACCAAAGAGGUUGGCUCCCAUCUAAAGCCAAAGCAAAAGGCAGCUUUUAGCUAAUACAUGUACAACUUUCAUAACAGACUUCCACUUCUUUCAUUGACUGUGAAGUUGGGAAAAUACGUAAAAUUACUCACGACAACGAUUAAUGUGCAAUCAGGCCUCAUGUGCAAGCGAAAUGUGCAAUCAGGCCUCAUGUGCAAGCGUGCAAGCGUGCAAGUAAGACCUAAUUGCACAGUAGUCGUUGCCAUUACUCACUGCCAAUAGUUAUGAAGAUAAUGAUUCAUUUUACCUACACACAUCUAUUCUUCAUGCAACCAAGCUCCUCGUCUAGCGCUCCACCACCUCGGUUGGUCGCCAAGGGCGAGCAUGACCUCUGCCACAGCAGGCGAGCUUGGGUCCACCAUCGCGAGAAAGCACGACCUUGGUCAAGGAUCCAUCCGGAGGAAGAAGACAAGACAGACAGGGUCCACUUGUCACUGAGUGAAGCUAACGGCAGUUUUUUAGAAGCCACAACUAUUGAACCAAACGAUUCUUAACUUUCGCACAUUCCAUAACCCACGGCUACUUUUCCACCCGUGGAAGAGUGGAAGACCCAGAAAUCUUCAAAAGCCUAAGAAAAUAUAAUACUCAUACUAUAAAGAUAUCGUCUUGCCCAGUUUUUGCCUAUGUUUAGUUGCAUUUUAUUGCUUGGUACACAUAUAUAAGUCUAUUUGCACUAAUGGAUGAGCCUAGGCAAGUGCCCACGCUCGCUAGGCCAUGAGUCCGCCCUUGUUUUCCACAAUCCACAACUCACAACAACCUUUUCAAAAUCCACAAGACCCUUAGGCUAUUCUCAUUGGUUCUCAGUGGGUAGGUAUCAUAUUUGUAUUUCUAAGAUGCCAUGUAAACAAGAAAGGAAUGAAAUCUUUGUUAAAAUAGUCUCUCGCAAUAGAGAGUUUCUUUCCGUGCGAUUUCAUAUAUAGACAAUAUGUCUAGAUAAUAGUGUAGACAUAGCUUCAUCACAUGAAACUCAUUUCAUCUCUUUCUUCAUUAAUUGUUUUACCACAUCAUCUAGAUCACUGAUAUGCCACAUCAUUCAAUGAGAAUGAAAAAAGUUAUGUGAUGUAGGCAGUUGGAAUGAUAUGCAGUAGGAAACUGAAAAGAUACCCGUAUAACGGUGGAGGAUCAUUCCAAUUUCCUACUGCACAUCACUUGAACAUGCUAGCAUCGGCCAUACGUAUAACUGAUUGCAUAUGUUAUACUCCUCUCCUUGUUAUCAUAUAUAAUAAAUAGUUCACCCUAACCGCUACACUUCUCUCCCCACCCCCCCACCCGGCCACCCCCCACAAAAAAAAGGUAGGGUCUACUGGCCACCCAAAUUACAGCGAUAAAACAUUUUAAUUUACAAUUAAUCAUCCACCCUAAUCAUUGCUUGACCCCAUAAAAAUCCUGUACGCACGGUAAAUUUCCCCUCCACCAUCACACAGUCGAUCAAACAGGGGAGCGUUAAUUCGGAACAUCCUCACAAGUGCAGCCACGAACUUCAGACCGGCAGAUCACACACCAUCCACAGAACUCUACUACGUGGUGACGAGCAAAAACCAACGAUCUACACGCACCGGACCGGAUGCACCCCUAAACCCGUGGAACCAAAAACAAUAAAUCUAACCGAAUUAUGCGAAGGUAUUUAUAUAGAUACUAGAGAGACAACAAAGGUGGGAGUAUAGUAUAGAUGACCAACGUGGGAGGAGAGUUGAGCAUACCGAACGACGAGCCGACGACGCGAACUCCGGCGCCCAGAAGCAGAACAGGUAUGCAGCCGAUCUCGGGCGGCGAUGUUCCUGUGGGCGGCGGGUGCUGGUUUGGCCGUUCUCCUUCCCCCAGGCUGGCGGCUAUAUAGCCGAGGAGACGGCGACAAGGAAGGAGCCAGGAUGGUGGCCGGAGGAGCAAACGCGUGGCGCCGAGUCAGGCCGCCAUGCGGGCUCGGGGCGCGUUACGGUUGCUGCGACCUGCGACUUGCGCGUCGCGAGCGCGUGCCGGCGACCGGCGUGCGUGGGAGGGGAAGGGGAGGAAAGGAAGAAAGCAACGCGACGAAGAACCGAACCGAGCCCCACAUCACCAGCCGGGCCUACAGCGCAGUGACCCGGAUCGAAACAUGUAAUUCUUGUGCCAUUUAUUGUCUUAGGAGAAAACAUAUUUAUGCUUCAUCACAAUAUCAAUAUGGGAAGCGAUUUUACGAAAAUACUUCUGCCCUCAAAGUCACACCUCACAGCAGUGCGGCCAACGGCCGCAUCUGUUCGGCUGCAUAGCUGCGAUUUAUGGACUGUGGAAGAGCUACGACAUGUGAAAAAACUGAUGCGGGCUGUUAAAAAGCUAAAAUCGUUUGGUGGAAACCAUUAAAAAUCGUUAAAUGUUUUUUGAUAUAUAUUUCACGGUUCCAUCCAAAAGCCACUAAAAUCAGGUCUAUAGGUGCUUUAAAUUUUGCACUACGAGAAAGUCAGCUUUUAAAAAAAAACUCUUUAUUGUAUUCAAUCCUUUGGUUUGACUUUUAGCUUUUAGGGAGCAAAAACCAAAAUUAAAAGCUAAACCAAACAUACCCUUAGACUACUAUAAUUGUAAUUGAUAAAGACAAAAUAUUGUAGUAACCACAGCGAACAUGGCUCCCAUGAAUUUCAUGCGCGAUGCAGCUUUCGUUCUCUAUAAAUUAUUGAUUGGUUUGUAUUAUGAUAGGAUAGAGCUAUUUUGUCCUCAAUUUAGUAUUGUUUGAAUUGAUUAUAUAUGAAACUUAAAAAAUAAAAAUUAUGCUUAAAUAUUGAACCAUCUUUUCAAAAUAUCCUGGACAGAACCACUCCAAUUGACUCUGAAACCAAAUGCUACCUAAACUAUGCUCAUACUCACUACCUAAACUAUGCUCAUACCCACUCCAUGAUUUCAUUAUAAGAACAGAAUUUAGAGAACCAAACUCUACCUAAACUAUGCUCAUACCCACUGCAUGAUUUUCAUUAUAAGAACAGAAUUUAGAGACAUGACUCGAUCUACUAUUUCAGCCUCAGAGCCUCAGGCAAGCAGGGAAACGGUUGAUGUCAUCAGAUCAACACGUCUUUUCAGACACCAGCAACAACGUACCGAAAUCGAUUGGUCAGAUAAAGCCACGAUUUAUUACUGGCAAUGGAUAUAAUCUUCAGAGCGCUCCAUCCACAAGACCAACAUAUACAGCAUAUCAGCAAAUGGUUAUUUAUGUCACUUAUUAGCAUUAUGUCACUCGCCACAAGCUGGAUUACUGGAAAUACAGAUGAAGGAUGAGUAACGCUGAAAAGGUAUUACUGGCAACACAUGUCCUGGAAGCCUGAGUUCAGCUACGAUCAACCAUGGAGGGCACAUCACUUCCACUUCUUGAACUUGCCGCCGCCGAACAUGCCGUGCCCGUGCUUGCCAUGCUUGAACUUGCCGUGCCCGUGCUUGAACUUGCCGUGGUGGCCGUGACCAUGCUUGAACUUGCCGUGGCCACCAUACCCGUGGCCGUAACCACCGUGACCAUAGCCUCCAAAGGCCCCAUGUCCACCGUGUCCGCUAUGGCCAUGAGAAAGCUUGUGUGCUCCAUAAGCGGCAGCGGCCGCGGCAGCACCUCCCGCUAGCAUUGCCCCCGUCCCCAUGUGGCCCCCGUGGCCCCCGCCGUGGCUGCUCCCAUAACCUGGAAUCACAAGAAGCAUCAGUUAGCAUGGAAUGAGCUUCAAUAUUUUACUGGAUCAACAGAACAGAAAUACCAAUUUCCAACAUUACAGCUACAGAAUGUAUAUGUAAAUGUUGGUUUAGUACAAUUCUAAAUCUGGACAAUAAAAUGUAAUAUAUAAGCAAUAUAACAAAGCAAGCAAGCCAAAACAAUCUCAAACUACGUACUAUAUAAACUGUUGUAUUAUUAUUACUUACAAAUACGAGUAUUUGCUGGAGUUAGACAAAUUAGCUAUUCUCAUAGCCAUUUCUUUUGUGAAAGGAAAGCUCUACUAGAUAUUAUCAUGGUGAAGGCUCCAUGAUUUCCAAGGUAAAGCACAUAACCGCAGAGUAAUUCAUACCAUGUUGAGUCAGUACCAAUGCAACCGCUAGCUAUUCUAAUAUCACUCUACGUUACAAACUAAGCAGAGUAAGUCAUACCAUGUUGUGUCAGUACCGAUGCAACUGCUAGCUAUUCUGAUCUCACUCCAAGUUACAAACUAAGUAUAGAACUGAUGAAGAGGAGAUCAUACCCUGGUGAGAUGAGCCGGGGUAGCCUGCAGGAGGAUAUCCACCUUGAGGUGGGUAGCCACCUGGCUGAGGGUACCCAUAUUGUGGUGGGUAUGCCCCAGGUGGAGGAGGAUAUGCCCCUGGAGGAGGAGGAUACGCCCCUGGGGGAGGCGGGUAUGCUCCUGGUUGCGGUGGGUAGCCCUGCGGAGGGUAUCCCUGGUGGGGGUACCCAUGACCACCGGCAACGCCGUGCAUCAUGUUCGAGAAGAGCCCCUUGUCGCUCUCGUCAUGCUUGUCUUUCCCUCCUCCCAUUGACCCCGCAAGUUACCUGAAGAAAGAACAUGCAGAUUAUAUAUAUCAAACUGUGAGCCAGCUGAAGUGUAGACUGAGAGAAUAUGAAUGUAGAUUGUAACACGUUGAAGAAUAAGGUGAGAAAAUCUGACACAGCAGGCGAGCGCGGCUCGGCCACCACAGGUCUACUGCCUCGGCCGAGCGCGACCUCGAGCACAGGUUUACUGCCUGGGCCGAGCGCGACCUCGGCUAAUAACCCACAACUGCUUUUCCACAAUCCACACAACUUUUUCAAAAGCCACAACACCCUUAGGCUAUUCUCAAUGGGUAGGUUUCAUAUUUGUGUUUCUAAGAUGCCACAUAAACAAGAAAGAAAUGAAAUCUUUGUUGAAUAGUCUCCCCAGUAGAGAGUUUCGUUGGGUGCGAUUUGGUAUGUAACAAGCAAUAGACAAUAUGCCUAGGUAUUUUACCCCAUGAAACUCAUUUUGUCUCUUUCUUCAUCGAUUGUUUGCCACAUCGUCCAGAUCACUGAUAUGGCACAUCAUUUAAUGAGAAUGAAAAAAAUUUAUGCAGAGGCAAUUGGAAUGAUGUACAGUAGAAAACUGGAAUGCUACCCAUAUAAUGGUCGAGUAUCAUCCCAAUUUCCUACUGCACAUCACUUGAGCAUGCUAGGAUCGGCCAUACGUAACUGAUUGCAUAUGGUAUACUCCUAUUGGCAAGCAGAACAGACCCUGCUUGUUAUCAUAUAAUAGUUCACCCUAAGCGCUACCUUUCUUCCCUACAAAAGGUAGGAUCUACUGGUCACCCAAAUUCCAGCGCUAAAACAUUUUAAUUUACAAUUAACUCCUCCGCCCUAAUCAUUGCUGGAGCUGGACCCCCAUAAGAUCAUGUAUGCACGAUAAAAUUCCCCUCCACCACCACCCAGAUCGAUCAAACAGGGGAAGGUUAAUUCGGAGGAUCCUCACAACUAUAGCCACGCUCACGCACUUGAGAUCGGCAGAUCACACACCAUCCAUAGAACUCUACCACAACGAUGACAAGCAAAAACCAACGAUCUACACGCAUCAAAUGAACCCCUAAACUCGUGGAACAAAAAAGUAAAUCUAACCGAAUUACGCGCAGGUAUUUAUAUAGAGAGACAAAAGGUGGGAGGAGAGUUGGGCAUACCGAACGACGACGCGAACUCCGGCGCCCUGAAGCAGCACAGAUGUGCAGCCGAUCUCGGCCGGCGAUGUUCCCUGUCGGCGGCGG